rnacentral:rRNA from 1 species
AAGACCUUGCACUUUUGGAGCGGCCGAUGUCUGAUUAGCUAGUUGGUGGGGUAAUGGCCCACCAAAGCUUCGAUCAGUAGCUGGUCUGAGAGGACGGCCUGCCACACUGGGACUGAGACACGGCCCAGACUCCUACGGGAGGCAGCAGUGGGGAAUUUUGGACAAUGGGCGCAAGCCUGAUCCAGCCAUGCCGCGUGAGUGAAGAAGGCCUUCGGGUUGUAAAGCUCUUUCAGCCGGGAAGAAAAGGUUGCGACUAAUAAUCGCAAUCCAUGACGGUACCGAAAGAAGAAGCACCGGCUAACUACGUGCCAGCAGCCGCGGUAAUACGUAGGGUGCGAGCGUUAAUCGGAAUUACUGGGCGUAAAGCGUGCGCAGGUGGUUUUGUAAGUCAGAUGUGAAAGCCCCGGGCUCAACCUGGGAACU